rnacentral:lncRNA from 13 species
AUGUUAAUCAUAGAUGCCCCAGUGGAUGUGAAGAUUGAGGGAGUGUCCAGUGUGAAGGAAGGAGACUCUGUGGAGCUGAGAUGCUUCAGUGACAGUAACCCUGCUGCCCACAGCUACCACUGGCACAACAGUAGAGGACCUCUGCCCACCACUGGACCUACCAUCACACUGGAGAAUGUGACCAGACUCACUGAAGCCCUCUACUGCACUGCCAUCAAUAGAGAGGGACAAGGCAACUCCAGCCCACUGAAACUCAAUGUAGAGUACCCCCCUGAGAUCAAAGUGGGCUCCGCCUGCACUUCAGACAUCUCCAUGGUAACCUGUCUGUGCAUUGUGGACUCGGAGCCCCCCGGCUCCGUGGAGUGGUCUCUUCCAGAUGGACCCCUGCCCAACCGGUCCAGUACCAGAGUGGAGAGGCAUGGGUCAAUUACUAUGAUGACCCUACAGAGGGCACUAGGCUUCUCCGAGACCAUCCACUGCCAUGCCAGCAACACACAGGGAAAUGCCACCUUGUCCUUCACUGUGUCCACAAAUGAUAAGAUGUCGAUGCUGUACGUUUCAAUUGGUAUUGCUGCAUUAGUGGUGGUAGUAAUACUAAUUACCAUGUCAGCUUGCCUUUUGAACAUGAAGGGUGGGAGGAGUCAUAGGGACCCGUCAGUAACCUGCAAGCAGGAAGUGCAUACAGCCAAGUGUGCUUCCUCAGAUCCCUCAACUUCAAGGAAAGAGCAGACAGACACCAGCAGUGAAAUCCACACAAACUACUGCACCAACGAUCACGUAUAUGGAAACAUGGAGGCUGAAGAGGAUGGCGACCCAUACGAGUGUGUUGAUGGAGACGAUGCAGUCUAUGCUAAUGUAUGAACACAACAGAAAGCGUGUGGAAGUCAGCUGGCCCAGAGGCAGUGGUACUCAGUCUGUCAAAGGUUCCAGUAAAAUAUUAACAUUUUAACCCAAUGUAGCAGAACAUAUUAUAUUAUUAUAUAUUAUAUAAUAUGUUCUGCUACAUUGGGUUAAAAUGUUAAUAUUUUAAAACCAAACUGUUUAUCAUAUAUAUAUAUAUAUAUAUAUAUAUAUAUAUAUAUAUAUAUUAUAUUUGUUAGCUUGAUGUAGGUUUAUGGUACUAUUGGCUAAAGAAAAUGGUGCAUUCUUAUUUGGGCUGUGGCUUUGUGUUAUAUCUUUUACAAGGCCUAUGUUUAUUAUCUAUGGCUUGGAUAAUUUAGAAAUGUUUUUACUAAAUGUCAAUUAUACACAAAAUACUAACCAGUACUUAACAAUAGCUUGUUUCACACUUCCCCAGCUGUCUAUUGCAAUUGUGUGUUGAGGCGGCAGGUAGCCUAGUGGUUAGAGCUUUGGGCCAGUAACCGAAAGGCUGCUAGAUUGAAUCCCUGAGCUGACAAGGUAAAAAUCUGUCGUUCUGCCUCUGAACAAGGCAGUUAACCCACUGUUCCUAGGCCGUCAUUGUAAAUAAUACUUUGUUCUUAAACUGACUUGCCUAGUUAAAUAAAGGUUAAAAUAAAAUAAACAUUUAAAAUCUGAGGAUAGAAUACGUGUGUGUGAGCUUUCAUUGUUUCUAAACUUGGGGUUGCUCUUUUAUUUUUUGAGAUUUUCAGCAUCUAUUUAUUUCCAUAGGGAUUGAGCUAUUUCAAAAUACUGAUUUUGUCAAUAUACAUUACCGG